rnacentral:rRNA from 1 species
AUUGAACGCUGGCGGCAGGCCUAACACAUGCAAGUCGAACGAGUGGCGGACGGGUGAGUAAUUUCUGGGAAACUGCCCGCUGGAGGGGGCUACCUACUGGAGACGGUAACUAAUACCGCAUACCAUCGGGUGUGCCCAGAUGGGAUGAGCUAGUAGGGGGGGUAACGGCCCACCUAGGCGACGAUCCCUAGUUGGUCUGAGAGGAGGACCAGCCACACUGGAACUGAGACACGGUCCAGACUCCUACGGGAGGCAGCAGUGGGGAAUAUUGCACAAUGGGCGAAAGCCUGAUGCAGCCAUGCCGCGUGUAUGAAGAAGGCCUGCGGGUUGUAAAGUACUUUCAGCGAGGAGGCGUUACUCGCAGAAGAAGCACCGGCUAACUCCGUGCCAGCAGCCGCGGUAAUUC